rnacentral:rRNA from 1 species
AGUGAACGCUGGCGGUAGGCCUAACACAUGCAAGUCGAACGGCAGCACAGUAAGAGCUUGCUCUUACGGGUGGCGAGUGGCGGACGGGUGAGGAAUACAUCGGAAUCUACUUUUUCGUGGGGGAUAACGUAGGGAAACUUACGCUAAUACCGCUUACGACCUACGGGUGAAAGCAGGGGAUCUUCGGACCUUGCGCGAUUGAAUGAGCCGAUGUCGGAUUAGCUAGUUGGCGGGGUAAGGGCCCACCAAGGCGACGAUCCGUAGCUGGUCUGAGAGGAUGAUCAGCGACACUGGAACUGAGACACGGUCCAGACUCCUACGGGAGGCAGCAGUGGGGAAUAUUGGACAAUGGGCGCAAGCCUGAUCCAGCCAUACCGCGUGGGUGAAGAAGGCCUUCGGGUUGUAAAGCCCUUUUGUUGGGAAAGAAAAGCAGCAGGUUAAUACCCCGCUGUUCUGACGGUACCCAAAGAAUAAGCACCGGCUAACUUCGUG